rnacentral:rRNA from 1 species
UACGGAGGGUGCAAGCGUUGCUCGGAAUUAUUGGGCGUAAAGGGUAGGUAGGUGGUCUCAUUUGUCUGGGGUGAAAGCCUUGAGCUUAACUCGAGAAGUGCCUCAGAAACGGUGAGACUAGAGUUCUGGAGAGGGUCGUGGAAUUCCAGGUGUAGCGGUGAAAUGACGUAGAUAUACUGGAGGAAUACCGGUGGCGAAGGCGGCAUCCUGGACCGAGAUUGACGCUGAACGGC